rnacentral:rRNA from 1 species
AUGAACGCUGGCGGCGUGCCUAAUACAUGCAAGUCGAGCGCACGGACGAGAAGCUUGCUUUUCUGAUGUUAGCGGCGGACGGGUGAGUAACACGUGGAUAACCUACCUAUAAGACUGGGAUAACUUCGGGAAACCGGAGCUAAUACCGGAUAAUAUUUUGAACCGCAUGGUUCAAAAGUGAAAGACGGUCUUGCUGUCACUUAUAGAUGGAUCCGCGCUGCAUUAGCUAGUUGGUAAGGUAACGGCUUACCAAGGCAACGAUGCAUAGCCGACCUGAGAGGGUGAUCGGCCACACUGGAACUGAGACACGGUCCAGACUCCUACGGGAGGCAGCAGUAGGGAAUCUUCCGCAAUGGGCGAAAGCCUGACGGAGCAACGCCGCGUGAGUGAUGAAGGUCUUCGGAUCGUAAAACUCUGUUACUAGGGAAGAACAUAUGUGUAAGUAACUGUGCACAUCUUGACGGUACCUAAUCAGAAAGCCACGGCUAACUACGUG